rnacentral:tRNA from 1 species
GCCGAAGUGGCGGAACUGGUAGACGCGCCGGUCUCAAACACCGGUGAGGGUGACCUCAUCCCGGUUCGAUUCCGGGCUUCGGCA